UUGUUUUAAAUAGCAUUGGUAAGAGGAGCGCUACAAAGCUUAAGAAAUUUAUAUGGGUCGUCUGAUUCUGUAAUAAGGCAAUGUACUCUAUCUUAUAAGAACCGUGAUAUACAGAGACUAACAACAUAGGACAGUUCUUUUAAACACUAUUAGCUAUUAUGAGGCAUAGUAAAAACUAAAAAUUAUAAAAAAUAUGGGAUGGUGAAUUCUUGCUACAUGACAGAAAAAAAAAUUGUGUGAAAAUUGGAUGAUCAAAGUGAAUCAAAGUAAUGCUUAUACAAAAAAAACAAAGAGAAGAACUUAAUGGAUGUGAGAGUUCUGCGUUUUUUAAGUGGUGAUUAUUGCGAACAAAAAAUUAUAUGAAUUAUCGAUUUUUUAACAAUAAAAUGCAAAAUAUUGUAACACUCUUAAUGCCCAAUA